CUACGGGGGGCACCAGUGGGGAAUAUUGCACAAUGGGCGCAAGCCUGAUGCAGCCAUGCCGCGUGUAUGAAGAAGGCCUUCGGGUUGUAAAGUACUUUCAGCGGGGAGGAAGGGAGUAAAGUUAAUACCUUUGCUCAUUGACGUUACCCGCAGAAGAAGCACCGGCUAACUCCGUGCCAGCAGCCGCGGUAAUACGGAGGGUGCAAGCGUUAAUCGGAAUUACUGGGCGUGAAGCGCACGCAGGCGGUUUGUUAAGUCAGAUGUGAAAUCCCCGGGCUAAACCUGGGAACUGCAUCUGAUACUGGCAAGCUUGAGUCUCGUAGAGGGGGGUAGAAUUCCAGGUGUAGCGGUGAAAUGCGUAGAGAUCUGGAGGAAUACCGGUGGCGAAGGCGGCCCCCUGGACGAAGACUGACGCUCAGGUGCGAAAGCGUGGGGAGCAAACAGGAUUAGAUACCCGUGUAGUC
rnacentral:rRNA from 1 species